rnacentral:rRNA from 1 species
GCUUGUCUCAAAGAUUAAGCCAUGCAUGUCUUAGUGUAAAUAACUCUUAUGAAACUGCGAAUGGCUCAUUAAAUCAGUUAUCGUUUAUUUGAUGGUCCCUUACUACAUGGAUAACCGUAGUAAUUCUAGAGCUAAUACAUGCUGUAAGCCUGACUUUAUGGGAAGGUUGUAUUUAUUAGAUCCCAAACCGAUAGCUUCGGCUAUUGUGACGAAUCAUAAUAACUUGUCGGAUCGGGUAUUACUCGAUGGAUCAUUCAAGUUUCUGCCCUAUCAGCUUUCGAUGGUAGUGUAUUGGACUACCAUGGCGAUAACGGGUAACGGGGAAUUAGGGUUCGAUUCCGGAGAGGGAGCCUGAGAAACGGCUACCACUUCUAAGGAAGGCAGCAGG